rnacentral:ncRNA from 1 species
GCUUAUGGAUUAAUUGAUAGUCCAUAUAAAACCUAUUGAAUUGCUGGGAACCCCUAACGUAAAGUCGAGGGCAAUCAGCAGCGAAGCCUUUGUGGUAAUAGCAAAGGAACGUUCAACGACUAAGUGCAUACAAUCGUAUGACAGCGGUAGGUAUUCUUGAUACAAAUAAAUGACAUGCUAUAAUCAAGACAACAAUUACGGAAAGGUGUUUUGAUUAUGGUUAAUAGUGUUGAAACUGGAAAAAGAUAUAACAAUAUAAAAGUUUUAG